UUUUCUCUCACAAACAACUGACUAUCAUUUAAAGUAAAUCAGAUAUCUCCCAGGUGGAAUCAUCUCCUGAGAAAGGAGAAAUGAGAUUCGUCGAGACAAUGAAAAUGUUUCAUGUCUUUCUUUCAUCUUCUGAAAGGUUAUCUUUAAAAGUUAACUCCUGAAUAGAAGCAGCUGUGUCCAGAAAUUAAACAUUCAAAGCAACUCCAGGAGAAAUCCAGUAUAUGCACUGCAAAAACUGAGGAGUUCUGCUGUGUUCUUCUUAAGAGCAACCAGAAUUGCUUUUGAAAUUCCAGGAUAUUUGAAGGAAGAAAAGAUGGAGGAGCAAAUAGGAGGGAUUGGGAAAUAGAAUGAAAAAAAUGAGAGAAGGAAAAUCGGAUAAGUAAAGCAGGUGGAGGAGUCGGGGGAAAGGAUUAUAUUGAAGACUAUAAUCAGAAGAAGAGAAUCACAUGAAAGGAAAGGCGUGGGCUGAAAAAUGUUAUACAUGUUCUUUCUCUUUUUAUCCCACAUCUUUUUCCUUCAGCCUUCAGAAUGGACUAUAGUUCUUAAAACUUCAAACAUCCAAUUUGCACUCUCCCUCUGUUCCUGGUUUUCCUGCUUCCAUUUGUCAAAUCCAGUGUAUUUGUUUAUUAUAGGAAAAAAAGGUAACCAUCGUGUUAUUUGUCUACAUGAGGCAACAUGUAUAAUUAUAAAUUGAAUCUUCUGGAUUAAUUCUUUAGCAUCAUACUACGAUUUACAAAAAUGUUGAGGGUAAGGAUCAAAGAUUCAUUUUUUAAAGAGCUCCCUGGACAUUCCAGUAGUUUAAGGAUGAUAUUUACUUCAAGUUCUCCUGAAUGGUUGAUAUCAGUAAGAUUUGGAGUAUUCUGUAAAACUUUAGGAAUUUUCUUUGGGUCCAGACUUUGACUUAUUAUCCAAAUCUGCCCAUGUUUCUUUCUUCCAGAGCCACUGUUUUACUGAAUGAACUUGUCCAUUAUACUUCAUCUUGCUUUCUAGUUAAAACACACAGAACGCCUUAACAUUCAGAAGAGAGCUCCCUUCAAUUUGUGCUGUCUCAUUUUCUAUUAAUUCAAAGUUACCUCGAUCUUGUUCAGAUCCCUAAGUCAAAUGGAAGUCAAGAACAGACAAGCAGAAAGAAGGAAUCAGCUCAUAUUGAAACGGUUACUCAUUGAACUAGCUUCUGAAAGUAGUUUUACUUUGAGAAGGUAUUGAAGUUUAACACUGGAGAAUUUCUUUCUGUGUAAACACACAUAUUACAUUAACUGUGAUUUUCUUGCAAACUGUAUGACCCAGUUUUUAACCAUGCCUGUAUAUACACGAAACAAGCUGUGCUUUGGAUGAAUGAUAUUUUCAAAUUCAUAUUUACAUGUGCAAAGCUCCAAAGAUUUAGACACUUACAGAGGAGAAGCCAAGAGAGUAAAAUCGGUGGGUGGCAUUGAAACGUUAGGAAUUAAUCUCAAGGAUGUGGUAUUACUCAUGAUCACCUAUGUUUCCUGCAGAGUUUUAAAUGUUAAUUACCAUAAAUAGUCAUCUAUUUAGGUGGGGAUCCUGAAUACAUUUUGGGGGGGUGGUUGGGGGAGGCAGC